UCACUGGCAACGGUGGGGUGUGAAGGAAGACCUAGCAAGUUAGUGGAACAUAGAGAAAUCGAACCGAUUCUGGCAUAUAUUGGGGGUAAGGUUGCAAAAAGUGCCGAUGCCCAAAAUCCGAAUAGCAAUAUAUGUUAAAACGGAUGGCUUCACUAACAGGAAUGUU
rnacentral:ncRNA from 1 species